UACGGAGGGUGCAAGCGUUAUCCGGAUUCACUGGGUUUAAAGGGUGCGUAGGAGGGCAGGUAAGUCAGUGGUGAAAUCCUGGGGCUUAACCCCAGAACUGCCGUUGAUACUAUCGGUCUUGAAUACCGUGGAGGUGAGCGGAAUAUGUCAUGUAGCGGUGAAAUGCUUAGAUAUGACAUAGAACACCAAUUGCGAAGGCAGCUUGCUACACGUUUAUUGACUCUGAGGCACGAAAGCGUGGGGAUCAAACAGG
rnacentral:rRNA from 1 species